AGCCUCUUGACCAAUUAACAUAAGAGGUACUGCCUGCCCAGUGACACCUGUUCAACGGCCGCGGUAUUAUGACCGUGCAAAGGUAGCGUAAUCACUUGUCUUUUAAAUAAAGACCAGUAUGAAUGGCGAAACGAGAGCCAAGCUGUCUCUCCAAGCUAGUCAGUGAAAUUGAUAUUCUUGUGCAGAAGCGAGAAUAUUUCUACAAGACGAGAAGACCCUAUGGAGCUUUAAGCUGAAAAUAAAUAUGCAAACGAACUAAAAAUAAUUAUUAAUAUAUAGCUUUAGGUUGGGGCGACCACGGAGAAAAAUAAAACCCCCGAGAUGAAUUAGCCAAGAAAAACACAUCAAAGCAACAAAAAUAUUGACAUAUUUGACCCAAUAUUUGACCAACGAACCAAGUUACCCUAGGGAUAACAGCGCAAUCUUCUCAUAGAGUCCCUAUCGACGAGAAGGUUUACGACCUCGAUGUUGGAUCAGGGCCCCCAAAUGGUGCAGCAGCUGUUAAAGGUUCGUUUGUUCAACGAUUAAAGCCCU
rnacentral:rRNA from 1 species